UCCGGUUUGUCACCGGCAGUCCCAUUAGAGUGCCCAACUUAAUGCUGGCAACUAAUGGCAAGGGUUGCGCUCGUUGCGGGACUUAACCCAACAUCUCACGACACGAGCUGACGACAGCCGUGCAGCACCUGUGCAUGGAUCCCGAAGGAGGCUCCUCGUUUCUGAGGAGUUUCCCAUGCAUGUCAAGCCUAGGUAAGGUUCUUCGCGUUGCGUCGAAUUAAACCACAUGCUCCGCUGCUUGUGCGGGCCCCCGUCAAUUCCUUUGAGUUUUAGCCUUGCGGCCGUACUCCCCAGGCGGGGAACUUAAUGCGUUAGCUUCGGCACGGACGGAGUCGACACCGCCCACACCUAGUUCCCAUCGUUUACGGCGUGGACUAC
rnacentral:misc_RNA from 1 species